GGGCACGUAGCUCAGCCUGGAUAGAGCGUCGGACUUCUAUCCGCACGCACCUCUGGUGGUGUGGGAAGACAUCCGAUGGUCGUGGGUUCAAAUCCCAUCGUGCUCG
rnacentral:tRNA from 1 species